rnacentral:rRNA from 1 species
AAUCUUCUUGCAUUCCCAUGGCGGGGCCUGGGGAGUUCAUCAAGAUCUUGGGGGUCCCCAUAGCCCCUAAUGGCAAGCCCUCUUUCGAUAUAGACACACUGGAAGGAACCCUGCAGAGGAUCCGAAAAGCCCCCCUGAAGCCCGCACAAAAACUUGCCAUUGUGCGGGACUACCUAAUCUCUUCUCUAGAAUAUAAGCUCGGAGUCCCUGGGGUAGGUAGGAUAGUACUAGACGAGGUUGAUGCCUCAAUUAGACAAACGGUCAAACGCUUCCUGCACCUCCCACACACCGGCAUGAACAGCAUGUUCCUCACCAUGCCUAUCAAAGACGGCGGGCUAGGUCUGCGCUCGCUCCGCACACAGCACCUCGCACGCGUCGCAGUUGGCACUAACAGCAUGAUGAGUAGUGCCGACCCGACAUCACAUACCAUUGCCAGCAUGCCACAACACCAAAAACCUUUGCAUGCCGCACUGCAGCACUUCUCCGUACCGGCAGCCACAAAGGACGCGUUGAAGAAGGUGAAGCGACAACUGCUCUGCGCAGAAAUCGCUGAACUAACGGAAACGUACCAGGGCAGCUGCCUGCCGACAUUCAGGAAGAGGCCUGUGGGUAAUUCCUGGCUGAGCGGACUUAACGGAAUGCGAAGCCGGGACUUCAUCACUGGGCUUAAACUCCGCUUUGGGGUGAUUGAAACUCGCUCCCAGAAGUGGAGGGGGAGAACUCCCCAAAACCCAGCGGUGUUGCUGUGCAGACAUUGCGGGCAUUCAACCGGUAAACGGGAGACUGCCGCGCAUAUUUCACAGAAAUGCCCUCAGACUAAAAACCUGAACAUCCAGCGGCACAACAAGAUUGUCCAUCUUGUUGCGGAGCAUGCACGGAGAGAAGGGUUCACGGUGCAUGUUGAACAUGCCUUAAAGUCAGAUGGUCAGGUCUACAAACCUGACCUCAUCCUGACUAAAGGGAAUGCCGCACACGUCCUCGAUGUGGCGGUACCAUGGGAAACGGGCACUGACAUGCAUGAACACCACGAGCGCAAGGUUACUAAAUACUGCAUGAUAAGCGACGACGUUAAAGCACACUUUGGCGUCGAUAGCUGCACAGUGGGUGCUAUUGUAGUGGGCGCCAGGUCCAGCUGGUGUGCCAGCAAUAAAACCACACUUAAAGCAUGUAACACACACUUCACCAAAAGGUUCAAGCGAUUGCUCUGCAGGGUAGCCCUAGAGGGCACCUGCAGGGUCUUCCAGACCUUUUUCACCAGCACCCCAUGACACUGCACCCUAAAAUAAAAACAAAAAAAAAUAAAAUAACAAAUAAAAAAAAUGAUAAAAUUAAAAAAGAACAAAAAAAUGCCUUGCAUGCUUGGCCUUGCAUGAUGCUUGAGAUCCCCCAUUAGGGGGGAUGAUAACCUUUAUUUAUAGGCACUUAUGGAAUCGUGCGUGGACCAAGAUGGCUGCCGCUGAAGUUGGACCGAACCGGAUAAACGCGCCGUAGAACCGACGCCGAACAACCGUAAGGGAAGACGAAGACGGGAUGCCGUUGGAAAUCUACCUACGAAUCCUAAGCGAACAACAGCAGUCGGGAAAGAAGACCAAAGACAACGGCUCCACCGGAGCCGCCCCCCUGAAGCCGGGCCCUCAUUGCUGUUCCCACUACACUCCCCUCGACAACCUGCCCCCAUGUAUAUUGUUAAAAUCGGUACCGGCCGUCACCGGGCUGCUAUGCAGUACUUAUGUUUUUCACACAUAACAGAUGUUAUACUAUUAUGAUAAUUCAAUAAAACACCAUUCGUGCGCGUCACUAUUAUUAGAACGACGAAAGCCGGCGCUCUUCGGAGUGUCCUGCAAAUUCCGAAUGUAGCCAAAUGCCCCGUCAUCUAAUUAGUGACGCGUAUGAAUGGAUCAACAAGAUUCCUUCUGUCCCUAUCUACUAUCUAGCGUAACCACAGCCAAGGGAACGGGCUUGGCAAAAUCAGCGGGGAAAGAAGACCCUGUUGAGCUUGACUCUAGUCUGACUCUGUGAAGAGACAUGAAAGGUGUAGCAUAGGUGGGAGAUUGUCAAAUUGCCAUCGUUCGCGCGGUGGUCCGGUGAUCGCCAAUGAAAUACCACUACUUUGAUCGUUUCUUUACUUAUUCGGUAAAGCGAAAAAAUUGUGGCCAAUUUGGCGGUGUUUAUGUCGCUGUUGGUCAUUGUUUUCAUGUUAGAUUGAAGCUUUGUUUACAGCCGUCGCUUUGUGUCGCCAUUUGACGCAUUGUUGUACUGGGUUAUCCCGGUGUGUGGUGUAGUCAGUAUGGAUGAUCGGCGAUAGGUUUGAAGUGAUUCGCUCCGGAAACAGUGUCAGACGGGGAGUUUGACUGGGGCGGUACAUCUGUUAAACGAUAACGCAGGUGUCCUAAGGUAAGCUCAGCGAGGACAGAAACCUCGCUUAGAGUAAACGGGCACAAGCUUACUUGAUUUUGAUUUCCAGUACGAAUAGAAACCGCUAAAGCGUGGCCUAGUGAUUCUUUUGAUUGUGUAGAUUUCAUGCAAGAGGUAUGAGAAAAGUUACCACAGGGAUAACUGGCUUGUGGCAGCCAAGCGUCCAUAGCGACGUUGCUUUUUCAUCCUUCGAUGUCGGCUCUUCCUAUCAUUGCGAAGCAGAAUUCGCCAAGCGUUGGAUUGUUCACCCACCAAUAGGGAACGUGAGCUGGGUUUAGACCGUCGUGAGACAGGUUAGUUUUACCCUACUGAUGACAAGUCGUUGCGAUAGUAAUCCUGCUCAGUACGAGAGGAACCGCGGGAUCAGACAUUUGAUUCAUGCGCUCGGCUGAACUGCUUGGGAACUUUUUGUAAUUUAAAAAAAUUUUUCAAAGUCCAAAAAUUGGUUUUGGAAAGUUUUUGUCUCCUUCUUAAUGACAGUCAGUGGUGAUCAUAGUCAUAGUAGUAACAAAGUAUUCAAAAGUGAAUCAUCAGACGGACAAUGACAAUAAAUAAAGCUGAAGCAC